UGGGCAGGCUUAGGCAGUUUGAGUGAAGGCCGGCCACGCCUCCUUAUUAUAUUACACUGAGAAUUCAGUCCUUGCUUGCUCAUUAAUGUGGAUAGUGUGAGUCAUCAGUCUGGCAGCCUGCAGUGUCUGUGAGGCCCCUCCCUCUGCUGGGGAAUCAUCACUCAGAGAGCCAUGGUCAGUGACCUCAGUAGACAGUAACAUGUCACUGUAAUACA